rnacentral:tRNA from 1 species
AUGGAGCAGUCUGGUAGCUCGUCGGGCUCAUAACCCGAAGGUCGUUGGUUCAAAUCCAGCU